UGUUUUAAGGUUUUAACGAGGCACAUCAUUGAAUAGACAUUCAAGGGGGAGUGUUAUAAAUUGACUUCUAUUUAAGGUGAAUGUCUUUAAUUAGAGAGAUUCUACUAACUCCUAACAUUCUCUAAGUAUCAAUAAGAAGAACUCUCUCUACUCUUCUCUCUAUUGCUCUUGUUCUUGCAUUAUUGUUCUUGUCUUUUAUAUUAUUUCAUAACA
rnacentral:lncRNA from 1 species